rnacentral:sRNA from 1 species
GCGCCUCGGAGCUGGCGUCAACCAGCGAAGGCUGAACCCGCCUCCGGGAUCCUCGCCGAGCUGGGAGUUAGGAUCCGAGGGGACCAAGAGGGAUAAGAAAACUUCUCUGGGUGCCCACUUGGUACUGAGCGCCCUUGGGAGGGCUCUGGAGAAGACCAUCGCCUUCCAGGGUAGCUCCCUCCCUCAAAGGGAAGGAAACUGAGGUCCAGAAAAGUUAUGACUCGCCCCAAGGGGAUUUCCUGGCAGGACGUGAAGGGGAAGGGGCCCACCGUGGAGUAACCCUCACUGGAGAAUCCAGAGGUGGGAUGAGCCUUGUACCUAUCUCAGCAGAGAGAGUAGGAUAAUAUUUAAAUAUUAAGGGUGGGGAGAAGGAAUGAAGGCAAGAAAUAAAAUGCCCAAAAUUCCCCAAACGCCAUCCGGACCAUAAAAGUGAUGGCGAUAGUGUUGGACUUAGGAGCUCAAAGAUGCUAACCUUGACAGGCCUGGUGGCCCAAGUCUAGUCGCAGCUACUUGGAAGGCUGAGGCAGGAGGAUCGCUUUAGCCCAGGAGUGCCGAUCCCUCCUGGGCAACAUAGUGAGAUCCUUGUCUUCUUAAAAAAAAAAAAAAAAGUGCAUAC